UAUCCGAAGACGUGAUGCGUACCGAACUAAGAGUAGGGAAGAGUGUGAGCCAUGCGUCAAGAAAAGCCGCUAUUGUUUGUAUCGCGCCCGUACCGUAAACCGACACAGGUGGAUGAGGAGAGAAUCCUAAGGCCGACGGGAGAAGCAUUGUUAAGGAACACGGCAAAAUGACUCCGUAACUUCGGGAGAAGGAGUGCCACUGAGAGGUGGCCGCAGAGAAUUGGCCCAAGCAACUGUUUAGCAAAAACACAGGUCUAUGCAAAACCGAAAGGUGAAGUAUAUGGGCUGACGCCUGCCCGGUGCUGGAAGGUUAAGGGGAGAGGUUAGCGCAAGCGAAGCUUUGAACUUAAGCCCCAGUAAACGGCGGCCGUAACCAUAACGGUCCUAAGGUAGCGAAAUUCCUUGUCGGGUAAGUUCCGACCCGCACGAAAGGCGUAAUGAUUUGGGCACUGUCUCAACAAUGCACCCGGUGAAAUUGAAAUACCAGUGAAGAUGCUGGUUACCUGCGCCAGGACGGAAAGACCCCAUGGAGCUUUACUCCAGCUUGAUACUGGGAUUCGGUAUUGCAUGUACAGGAUAGGUGGGAGGCUAAGAAGCGGUAACGCCAGUUGCCGUGGAGCUGCUGUUGGGAUACCACCCUUGCAGUACUGGGUUUCUAACCAGCGGCCUUAAUCAGGUCGGGGGACAAUGUCAGGUGGGGAGUUUGACUGGGGCGGUCGCCUCCGAAAGGGUAUCGGAGGCGCUCAAAGGUUCCCUCAGAAUGGUCGGAAACCAUUCGAAGAGUGCAAAGGCAGAAGGGAGCUUGACUGCGACACCGACGGGUGGAGCAGGUACGAAAGUAGGACUUAGUGAUCCGGUGGUAUAAAGUGGGAUUGCCAUCGCUCAACGGAUAAAAGCUACCCUGGGAUAACAGGCUUAUCACUCCCAAGAGUUCACAUCGACGGAGUGGUUUGGCACCUCGAUGUCGGCUCAUCGCAUCCUGGGGCUGAAGUAGGUCCCAAGGGUUGGGCUGUUCGCCCAUUAAAGCGGUACGCGAGCUGGGUUCAGAACGUCGUGAGACAGUUCGGUCCCUAUCCGGCGUGGGCGUAGGAUAUUUGAGAGGAGCUGUCCUUAGUACGAGAGGACCGGGAUGGACUGGCCGCUGGUUGAUCUGUUGUUCCGCCAGGAGCAUAGCAGAGUAGCCAAGCCGGGACGGGAUAAACGCUGAAGGCAUCUAAGCGUGAAGCCCCCCUCAAGAUGAGAUAUCCCAACGAAAGUUGUAAGACCCCUUGAAGACGACGAGGUAGAUAGGACAGAGGUGGAAGUGUGGUAACACAUGGAGCUGACUGUUACUAAUAGGUCGAGGGCAUAACU
rnacentral:rRNA from 1 species